ACCAUUUCAGGUACAGAUACAACUCAGCACACAACCACCGCUUCUGAAGGCAGAGGGAGUCCUGUCACUGAGAGGCCUUCAGCACGUGACACUGAAGAGACAUAUGUGUCCCCUCCAACCUAUCCAGCUCUAUGGCCAGCUCACAUUUUAGAUGCUGAUCGUGUGGAAAUUGUGCAG